rnacentral:lncRNA from 1 species
CACCUAGAUUAUCAAACCUAGCCUUUCCAUGUGAUGCAGUUGGCAGCAAGAAGAAUUUGUUGUGACAAGGAGGCUUCUCACAGGUAAAUACCUGAGGUUUCUACCUUUGCAUAAUAGAAUCAGGCCCAUCCAGGUUACUGCCCCAAUAUCUAAAAGGAACCCUGUCACUUUCACAGUUUAAAAAUAUCUAUUUGUGCUUUCAGCCCUUAAACCAAAGGUUGUAGCUUCCAUCAUCUCAAUUAAGGUUCUGUACCUCACAGUCAGUCAAUGUUUACAAGGCUCGUGGUUUCCCUUCCCUGAAGCUUCUAUCAGAGAGAAAUUGGCAUGUUUUCCCCAGACCAAAGAGAGAAGCUAGCUUUUACCUCUAAGGCUAUCCUGUGACCCCUAUCAUAGCUAUUUAGGAACUUCUGACAGGUUCAGUGAUCUUUCUCCAUGUUCUCAUUUUGUAUAAUGUGUGACAUCUUUCUUUUGCUCACCUAUUCUGAGGAAGUAGGCCCAGAUUACAGGCUCUUCCCUGGUUAUUUUCCUAUUAUUGUUGGGAUAAUUGAUCUUCUGGUCCCUUUAGCCAUCAGCUGAAUAUGCUCCUGGAGCCAGAAUUCUCCUCCACUAUCUCAUGCCGGAGUCUGUCUGGGAUUGGAGCAAGGAAGAUCUCAUGGUCUAGUCCUUUCCAAGAUGUCAACAGUCACAUGCUCGGUUUCCUACUGAUGAGAGAAUGGAGCUGGAAUUUCACCCAUCUCCAUGGGAUCCCCAAACCCAUCUGGUCCACAGCCAGUCAGCCCACUGACCAACCUCCCACAGCCCCAGCCCAUCCGUCCAGGCUGUCCAUCUGGUUAGUUGGUGAUGAGCACACCCCCUCUUCUCCUGCACCUCCUCUGUAACAUGUGUUCAGUGGUGCUCCCUGGCAUACCCCACAGCAGCACUAACAUUUAUAUACUUUGCAAGGAUGAGUUUUCUUUCCCUUGAAUCUCCUAGGCUACAUCCAAGAUAUCCCAUUUUCCAAACCAUGGAGACCUGUGUUAGCUGACCUAUCUGACAUUGUUUCCACUUUGUUGUGAAGUAAAAACCUCAGUGCACUACACCUGUCCCCUCUGUCAUGGACUUGGCAUGUCCUGGCAACUAGCAGGUAACUUGCUCACCAUUUGAGGAGUACUGCUGCCAAGAAGAAGGGAUUUAAGCCCUCAGUUGCAGCUAUUAAUCCUGAAGGCUUUCAUCUUGGGUUUCCUGUUAUGCUCUUCCCACCCAUUCCUGUGGGGAUCUCUUGGAAGACAUGGUCCUUCCUGUCUACCAAAGAUGGGGUGAUUGCCUUACCUACCCAGACUAAUUAUGGAAAAGUUCUUAUACUUUCAUUAGGAGAACAUUAGGUUGGCAUUUUUCAGGUGAAUAUUGAACUGCAAAAGUAAGUUGAUAAUCAUACCUGACAUUUAUUGAGAGUUUCCUAUGUGCCGUGUACUGGUCUAAGAGCUAUAUAUAGAUUAUCUCAAUUUAUCAUCAAAACAACACAAUGAAAUAAGUAUUAUUAUUAAUAUCUCUAUUGGGGAAGCUCAGGUAGAGAAGAGUUAAAUAACUUGCCCAAGGUCACACAGCUAUUGAGGCACAAAGUUGGGUAAACACUCAAGAGAUGGAUUUGCUCUGAAGUUUCUUACAGAGCUGCAGAGGAUGUAAAAAUGCAGAGCUGUCUGGGUUUCAUGUCGAAGGCCUGAAUCCUGGCAUAUGUGCCUUGACUUUCAGAAGACUGAGUCCAGCAGAAAAAGUGGGAGAGAUGGUGAAAUCUGUUUGUGCUCAUUCAGCAUGCUCUUGCUGACCUGCUGUGUGCCUAGCACUGUGCAUGGUAUUGAGAGAGAUAAAAGUCAAAGUGAAAGACACUGUGCAUGGCUUUGAGGGCCUUACACAUUACCCUGAAGGACAGGGCCAUAAGCUGAUGCUUUAGAUCUCUGGUUAUCAAAGAUUGGUCUGUUUUCACUAAUUUCAAGAUAACUUAUAGAUCUGGCAAAACUACUAUCCAAGAAAAGAUGGACAGAUGGAUUGGCCAAAGGCCAUACAACAUAAGAUGGCACCUGUGCUUGGAAGAAUUCACCAGAUUUUAAGUUUCAAAAUCUUGAGUCACUUUACAGAAGAGGAAAUUAAGACCUGGUAUGGAAAAGUGACUGGCUUUGGGUCUAACAGGGGCACAUUAAGGACUGGGAUCCUGUGCCUGGACAAGCAGGGGUUGAGGGAGGCAUCUCUAGCUGUCCCAGGAGCUUGAGAGGAGGUGUGGUGGAGGGAACAAAGCAGGUCUGGAAGAAGGGUAGUUGCAGAGAACUGAGUAAACCAAGGCAGGUUCAGUUCCUCCUGAGAGAAAGAGGCUGUUUAGUUUGGGGGUUCUGGGUUGAGAGGCUGUUUCUUGGCCACAGUUUCUUUUUUGGUAAGAUAUCAAUGGUAAGUAUCGACUUCAGUAAGUAUGCUUCUGUAGUACUAUGUAGUUACACAGAUCACAUAUUGGAUCGGAAAAGGCAGCGUAAUAACAGUCAUUAUUAUUAAUGAUAUGCAUCAUUUAAAGUAACAUAAAUUAUAGCAUAUUAAUGAUAAUAUUACAUAUGUUAAGUUCAUAGACUCUCAAAGCUGGCAAAAGCUAUCAGAGGUCAUCUACUCCAGCCUCCCUCAAUGGCUAUCAGGAUCCCCUGUUCAAUAUCUAUACAAGCUCUCCUUAAUCUUAUUAAAAGGAAAAUCAUGCAUGAUGAAUUUCAGGAUUUACCCAAGGCAGGAAGUAGCUCUCUGUGCUCUAAUCAGACCAUGGCUCCAUAUUCCCGGUGGGCCCUUGUGAAUCCAUCAUUCUUGACUUCAUGGGAAAUCCAGAGCCCAGACAUCAAGCAGCUCCCAAAGACUGCUAUGGUCAAAAUAGUGUUAAAAAACUAGGUACAGAGCCAGGGUUCCAGCUGGAAAAAUCUCAAGAGGUUCGAUAUUCCCUGCCAAAUCAGCACUGGUCUCUAUGAUUUUGAGAGAAGAAAGGAGGCAGGGAAGUGGCAGAGAGCACAUGGUAACCUCUGUACUCCCUGAUGCCCUGAAUGUUCUGACAUACACAACAGCCCCAAUAGUAGAUGGAAGCACCUGGAAAACUGUAGACUUCACUGCUGGGCUGAGGAUGGCCAUCCUGCCCCUCACUCAUUGGUUCCCUAAUCCUUCUCACCUUUCAUCUUUGUUCCAGGAUUUUCCCAACAGCCAAAAUCUAACAUCCAGUAUUCUGGAAUGACACAAAUGCUGCCACCAAAAACCUCCCACUGUUCCCCUUCUAGGAUGGGAAGACUGCCAGGUGCCAGAAAAAUCACUCAGUGAGAGCCUGGCUCUGAUCAGAGGGCUGAGAGUGGGCCAGAGGCUCUCCACUUGAGAAGGGAGGUGAGCUCUUCCCAAGGGGUGGUGGGAUGGUAGCCCAUUGACCAGCCCUCUCUGACACCCUUUAAUACCUGGGCCCCCUCUAGUCCGAAGACCAUCCAUUUGCUUGAGGUAGGGAGAUUAAAAUUAGUUCCCAAUUUGGUCUUCUGAAUCAACACACUGGUCCCAAUGUGAGUGAAAAAAAAUGUUAGAGAAACGGUUUCAUCCUAAGGUCAGAGAGGGUUGGUUGAAGUGUGCAUGGCUGGACAGGUUCCUUGGGUAGGGCUGAUGCUUCACAGUUUGUUUGGGGAGAGCUGGGGUGCGCCAGGACAUAUAACUGCAGAUGGGGUGACUCACCUACAUGAAGAGGUUGGAUUCUGUUUUUAAGGUAAAUAGAGAAGACUGUGGGUCACUCCAGAGGUCUGGGAGCAGGCAGGGAGGACCUCAACAGUGAUUAAGUGCAGAAGCCCAAUUCUUCCUUGGUCUCCCUGCUUUUAAGAGUCCUGGUGAGGUUCCUUCUUCUAAGGAAUCAUGCAAACUGCUCUGGAUUAGCUCAGCUUUGAUUUGUGAGGGAAGCAGAGGCAUGGAAUUUUCUUGGGGCUUUUUUCUUGAGGCUCAAGGUCUUCCAUCCUUUCUUAGGUUACAGUAAAUGAAAGUUUGUGCCAGAAGUGAGAAAACUAGAGAAAGGGUGCCACCUGUGCUUUCUACCCCAAACCAAAGAUGAAGGGGCUCAGACAAGAGUGCCUGAUUCCAGGGCUCAACAGUGAGGGUUCCUUCCCUGCCUGCAUUCAGCUUUGUCUGCAGAAUGGUGGAAAAGAAACAAAACUGGAGACAUUUAUAUGUAGAGGUAUACAAAGUCAGCAGCACUGUCAGAAAGAUUCUAUAGCAUCUCAACAUUCCAAACAUUUCUUUAGCAUGGAUGACCAUUUCUUCCAUUCUUUAUCAAAAGUCUAAUUUCUUCACAUUACAAAAGUUUCCAAACUGAGGAUCAAAGUUGUUUAUUUGGCUUAGUUUUUAUAGUGCUUAUGGGACAGAAGUAGGUCUCAAACUUUAAAUCUUCUGACCCCAGAACUGGAGUUCCCUUCACACCACAUCCCCGCACUCAUGCAUUACAGUGAUGGCUGGCUCCCACAGCAGGAAAAAGGGCAAAACAUGAGGCUGAGAAGGCAGCCCAGAGCUAGGAAAGACAAUGUCCAUGCAAGUGGGAGGAGAGUCAGGCCUGGGAGAGGUAGACAAAGGGCACAGGACCCUGGAGAGUUGAGACGGGGCUGAAGAUAGCAGCUCUGCCAGAAUUCUCCAUGGACAGGAGGCUCUCUCAGCUCUCCAGUGCCAGUCUAGCUGGGGCAGGGGUCAGAGAUUAUUGUCCAUUGUGACCUGAGCAGGAAAGAUGGAGUAAGAGGGAUCUAGGCAAGGAUAAGUAGGAAAGAGUGAGGCGCAGCAGAAUCAGAAGAGUCUGGUUGGGAGGACACAGCUGUCCAGGUCCAGGCUAUGGGCCCAGUCCACCCACUGUCCACAUCUAAAGGUGGGGGAAGGAGCAGUGUGCUGGAUAGGGCUCUACCUGGAGUGACCCUCUACUUAGUGAAACCAGGAGGCAAGUAGGGACCAACUAGGAGUCAUGGUCAUUUUCAAGAUUUGUAUUUGUCCUGUCUGCCUUGAGGUUCCAGUUCCUUCCUGUAUGAAGGCAAAGAAUCCCAUCCGCCAUGUAAGAAUAGAGGCACAUUGGGAAAUCUUGAGGCCUGGCGAAGGAAGAAAGGACUGGCUUCUCCAUAAAUACUGGAGGUCUCAUGGCACAGCCCCACUCAUCAGAUCCACUUGUCUCUUCCAGGGAAUGGCUUGGAGACUAAAUGGGUGGAAAAUUGCUGAGGGUAAUGAGCCACAGCCCUUCUAGAUUGUUCCAGAGUGUUAAUUGGAUUGUUAAUCAGUCAUAUCAAGUCUCCCUGGGAGGAAGGCUUUUGCACAGAAGGGUGGGACUCUUUCAGAAAAUACCAUGGUAUCUGGAUUGGCCUUGAACCAGCUAGCAAAGGGAGAAAUCAUGAGCACAGGACUCAGGAUUCUUUCCCCUUUUGGUUGUGAGGCAGCAUGAACAGGAAAGCUCUCAGCAGAAUACAAAGGACUGUUCAAAGAGGGAAGAGGAAACUCAUGUUAUUUACCAAACACUGUGGUAAGCAUCCCAUAUUUCUUAUGUGUUAUUCCUCAUGAGCCUCACCCAUCCUUCUGACACAGGGGUUGGAUCAUUCAUUUUACAGUUGAGAAAACUGAGACACACAGAAGUUAAGCAGCCUGCUGCACGUCACACAACUAGUUAGGGGAAGAGCUGGAAAGUUACUCCUAAGUUACCUAAGGAACAGCAAGGGACAUUAGAAUUUCAGUGAACUUUCUGGAAGGAAUCAUAACAUGUGAGCAAUGAGGUUAAAAAAGUGAGCCUAAGAUUAAAAAGCAGAAGCCAUGAAGAAAUGCACUGGGCAAAUAAUAUUGACUUCUCUGUGCCUGUCCCAGUGCCUCAUAUGGUAAGAAAUAAAAGGUUGCUCUUAAGGUCCUUAAAAUUUGUCCUGUCAAACUAAGCAUUAAAUAAUUCCCAGAUCACUGCUGCCUUUUUGUUUCCAAAAUGUAGGGGCUGGAUGGAGAGGAGGAAUAAGGUGGCAGGCCCUAACUACAGCUGCACAGAUUAGGUGGCUCUCUCCCCAAGGAAGGCAAGGGCACCCCAUGUCCAUUCCUUCAAGAGCUGAGUCUUUUUCCUAGCUUCAAUAUCCUCAAAUGUAAAAUGGUUCUGGUAUCUACCUCAAAAGAGUAUUGUGUUUGUAAAUUAAAUAGCUCUAUAUAGUUAUACAAAUAACAAAUAACCUGUAGGACUUGAUAAGUCACCAACUCAUGAUGAUUAAUGUAAUGGAUCACUGAUAAAACUGUUAUAAAUUACAAGACAUUAAUGGCCAUUACAUGGAUAUUAGGUCUGGAGUCUCAGAGCUGGAAAAUACCAGAAAUCUCCAAAUAAGCCUUCCUCAGCUCAUCAACAUCCCUGCCAGGUGGUGUUAUUCUGAUUACAAAUUAUUCCUUAGUUUUAAUUCAUAAAUCCUCUAAGGAAAAGAAAACAUGAUAUUCUCAUGCCUUGUGCUUCAAGGAGCUUAGUACUUGACUGUGGCUCCAGGUUUGUACAUAUUCCACGUUCCUGCUCCUUAAAAGACCCCAGAGCCAUAACAGAAAACUGCCAGUAUCUGCUGUGGUCACCACUGAAGUAGAAACAUAGCCAGCCAGGGUCCUUGCUGGGAAAUAUUCGGGAAAUCUUAGGUGUACGUUGUUCUCUUGCCAAAUCAAGUCGGGUCUCCAUGACACAGAGUGGAAGGAAGAAGGGGAAAGGCCACAGGGACACUGGCCAACUGUGAGGCCCCAUUAAAUAAAUGUUGCAUUCUGCUCUGAAUUUCACUACCAGUUGUGCAGUUCAGGACUGUGGCCUACCACCUCCCAGAUGCACAGCAUAGGCCAAUGAUGGGGCACUCUCUUCACAUUCUAAGCAGGACACCAGGACACCACCACCCUGCCACUAGUAAUUUGUUCCCUAAUAAGUCUCCGUUUACCUUCAUUCAAGGACUCGAAGACCAAAGUUAUAAAAAUAGUAACCAAUAAAAUUCCACGACCUCAAUACUAAUCACUCUUUACUCCCAUCCACAUCCUCCCAUUUGACCUGACAUUGAGGUGGAUAUAUUUGUUCCUUUAGUUCUUGCCCUAAUAUAAGGUAAAUGCUCAGAGUAAACUGCCAGAUAUCUACUGAACCAACCGGUAUCAGGUCCCUGCCUAAGAUAACAAGGGCAUCCUUCAAAGGGGGAAGUGGGAGGGCCAAGGAUAUCCCUUAUAACAGCCCUCCCCAUGGUCCAUCUCCCUCUAGCACAAACACCAAUUGAGCUGGUUUGGGGGAAAGAAUAAAAUAUCAAGGUCUUCUGAAUCAGCACACCAAUCAGCCCAAGCAAAAAAGAAUGACAUAGAGCCUUUAUUAAACUGGUUCUGAGGUAUGUGGGACUAGCCUGGCUGGCUGACCAGGCUUCUUGAGCCCCACAGGCCUCUUUCACAGAAAGGGAGUUUGGAUCAACAAGACCAUGUACAAAAGGGGGAUAAUAUACCUACGUGAGGAGCCAAGUUUCCAUGUUGAUGGUAAAUGGAAAAACUUUUGAGUCAGAGCUGAGCUCUGGGACAAAAAGGGAAAAGAAGAGGGAUGAAGGGAAGGGGCCCAAUUCCUCUUGACUGAUUCUAAAGCUCAUAGGGGGAUUCCAACUCACAGCUAGCCCUCUGUACUAAGGAACCAGACGAAUCUUGACCUCCCAGGGAACCUAGACCUGGGAAGGCUGAACUUGCUAUUUGAGGGUCAAGUCUACUCCCUGAAGGUGGAGUGCUGGAUAUUUUGAUGGGGACAAGGAGGGACAAUAGAUCAACCUCAGCAAAGGCUGGUAAGCCUGGGCAAGGUUCCACAGGGAUGGAUCUUCCUAAGGGGUGGGGGGGCUUCCCAGUUCCUAGAAAAUGGCGGUGCGCGCAGACUGCCUCCCUCCUCUUCAUUGUAGCUUGAUCCUGCGCAGUGACCGUUCCUAUAAAAGAAAAAAAAAAAUCAGAAGAAACUUGAUACAUAGGAAGACAAAACAGCAGAGAAAUAAGACAAAGUUAAAAUCACAAAAUGUAAUUGGCAGCACAUCUGUUUUCCAAAGAUAUUUACAUAAUUACUCCCAUUCUCACAAGAAUUCUGGAUUAGGGCAUUAUGAUUGUGUCACUUUCCAGUUGAGCGGGCAUGCCCACAAAGGGUAAAGUGUCUUUCCCAUGAUCACACAGCUUAGAUGGAAGACUUGGGACUUGACAAGGGGAACUUCUGACCCCAGAUCUGGGUUCCACCAGCCCCAACCCUUCAUCAGUUACCAUAGGGAGGGAAGGGAGAAAUGGGAGCGAGGCGGCAGCGAGCCCAGGAGGAAAAUACCCACACGGAAAGAGUCAGGCCUGGGAGGGGCCGGACCGGGGCACAAAUGCUGGAGGUUUCAGAGAUGGGCUGGCGCUGGCGAAGGCAGGUCUGCCAGUGACGUAUUUGUCCUGUGGGUCCUGGGCUCUUUCGUGGCACGCAGGGCACUCUCCUUCCUGGGAUGGGAGAAUGGAAUUCUUCUUCCGUGAGAGAGAAAAUACGGAGGUGAAGAAGAGCAGAAUGGGCGAGUACCAGACUGCAGCUGCAGCCAAGCCAGGGAAGAGGCUAAAGAGGGUCCUCGGCGGCUCCCGCAGGACAUUCCCUCCCCAGCCGGUCGGGAAGCUCCACACCUAGGCGAGGACGGGCAGCAGCGGCCCUGGGAAGGCUUCCGUGGAAACUUCCAAAACCACCUUGCCAGGCAACCAACACAAAAGGCCUGGACCAGGUGGUGGAGAUGCUGGGGCUCCUACACAGAGGCUCUAUUUUCUGUUUGCAGUCUUCCAGGCCAGAUAAGAAAACUGAGACACAGAAAAGUCACACAAGAUUAUCGAGGUCAACACAGAGAACAGUGGAACCUGCACCUGACCCCAGGCAGGCGGAACCUUCAUGACCACACCACACCACCACAGGGAACAGGCAGGGAAAACAAUGGGUCUAGCAGGACAAAAGUGACAUUUCCCAGAGUUUCUUGCUGUUUGGAUCUGGCUGCAGUUUCAGUUUUGCCAAGAAGAGGCAUUUCCAUGAGCUCUGGACAGUGGCAGAGAGGCAGAGGUGCUCCACUGCAGUGUGCUGGAUGGUCCACGGGCUCCUGCCAAUGUGAGGAUUUGCAGCAACUGGUAUAUCCAUGGUCUUGUCACCAGCUUCCUGAAUUCGGGGCAGCUGGAGCCACACUAGUGGUCCUUCCUUGCAGGGGCAGCAGCUGUCUCCUGGUCUCAGAAUCACAGCUGUGGGGAUGCAACCUUAAGCCAAAAGCCUAGCGGUGGGUGGUCCUAAACUUCUUUUGUCUAGGCCCUCUGAUCCCUCUGUAAGUCGCUAUUUCCC